GACGAACGCUGGCGGCGUGCCUAACACAUGCAAGUCGAGCGGAGUAUUUCUUUGGCACUGAGUACUCUAGUAAAGACGCAAAGGAAGCGUCAUGAAGAAACAACAUAGAUAGUUAAAAACACUGAAUUAAAAGUUUCUUCAUCACGUCGUUUUUAAAGUGCCAACACAAAGAGGGAAGGAUAAGUAGAGUAUUGAGUGACCAAAGAAAUCUUAGCGGCGGACGGGUGAGUAACACGUGGGCAACCUGCCUUGAAGUGGGGGAUAACACCGGGAAAUCGGUGCUAAUACCGCAUAACAUACACAAACUGCAUGGUAAGUGUAUCAAAGGAGCAAUCCGCUUUAAGAUGGGCCCGCGGCUGAUUAGCUAGUUGGUAAGGUAACGGCUUACCAAGGCGACGAUCAGUAGCCGACCUGAGAGGGUGACCGGCCACACUGGAACUGAGACACGGUCCAGACUCCUACGGGAGGCAGCAGUGGGGAAUAUUGCGCAAGUGGGGGAACCCUGGACGCAGCAACC
rnacentral:rRNA from 1 species